rnacentral:rRNA from 1 species
AUUGAACGCUGGCGGCAUGCCUUACACAUGCAAGUCGAACGGUAACAGGUCUUCGGAUGCUGACGAGUGGCGAACGGGUGAGUAAUACAUCGGAACGUGCCUAGUAGUGGGGGAUAACUACUCGAAAGAGUGGCUAAUACCGAAUGAGAUCUACGGAUGAAAGCAGGGGAUCGCAAGCACUUGUGCUACUAGAGCGGCCGAUGGCAGAUUAGGUAGUUGGUGGGAUAAAAGCUUACCAAGCCGACGAUCUGUAGCUGGUCUGAGAGGACGAUCAGCCACACUGGGACUGAGACACGGCCCAGACUCCUACGGGAGGCAGCAGUGGGGAAUUUUGGACAAUGGGUGCAAGCCUGAUCCAGCAAUGCCGCGUGCAGGAUGAAGGCCUUCGGGUUGUAAACUGCUUUUGUACGGAACGAAAAGCCCUGGGUUAAUACCCUGGGGUCAUGACGGUACCGUAAGAAUAAGCACCGGCUAACUACGUGCCAGCAGCCGCCGUAACAC